UACGUAGGUGGCAAGCGUUGUCCGGAUUUACUGGGCGUAAAGAGCGCGCAGGCGGUCGUUCAAGUCGCGUGUGAAAGACCCCGGCUCAACUGGGGAGGGUCGUGCGAUACGGGCGAACUGGAGGCCAGUAGGGGGAUGCGGAAUUCCGGGUGUAGUGGUGGAAUGCGUAGAGAUCCGGAGGAACACCAGCGGCGAAGGCGGGUCUCUGGGCCGAUACUGACGCUGAGGAGCGAAAGCGUGGGGAGCGAACAGG
rnacentral:rRNA from 1 species